rnacentral:rRNA from 1 species
GUAGCGUAGCUAACGCGUGAAAUUGACCGCCUGGGGAGUACGGUCGCAAGAUUAAAACUCAAAGGAAUUGACGGGGACCCGCACAAGCGGUGGAUGAUGUGGAUUAAUUCGAUGCAACGCGAAGAACCUUACCUGGUCUUGACAUGUACGGAAUCCUCCGGAGACGGAGGAGUGCCUUCGGGAGCCGUAACACAGGUGCUGCAUGGCUGUCGUCAGCUCGUGUCGUGAGAUGUUGGGUUAAGUCCCGCAACGAGCGCAACCCUUGUCAUUAGUUGCCAUCAUUCAGUUGGGCACUCUAAUGAGACUGCCGGUGACAAGCCGGAGGAAGGUGGGGAUGACGUCAAGUCCUCAUGGCCCUUAUGACCAGGGCUUCACACGUCAUACAAUGGUCGGUACAGAGGGUAGCCAAGCCGCGAGGCGGAGCCAAUCUCACAAAACCGAUCGUAGUCCGGAUUGCACUCUGCAACUCGAGUGCAUGAAGUCGGAAUCGCUAGUAAUCGCAGGUCAGCAUACUGCGGUGAAUACGUUCCCGGGUCUUGUACACACCGCCCGUCACACCAUGGGAGUGGGGGAUACCAGAAGUAGGUAGGAUAACCGCAAGGAGUCCGCUUACCACGGUAUGCUUCAUGACUGGGGUGAAGUCGUAACAAGGUAGCCGUAGGGGAACCUGCGGCUGGAUCACCUCCUUUCUAG